UACGUAGGGGGCAAGCGUUGUCCGGAUUUACUGGGCGUAAAGCGCGCGUAGGCGGAAGCUCAAGUCUGGCCUGAAAGCCCCCGGCUCAACCGGGGAGUGGGGCUGGAAACUGGGUUUCUUGAGGGCGAUAGAGGAGUGUGGAAUUCCUGGUGUAGCGGUGAAAUGCGUAGAGAUCAGGAGGAACACCCGUGGCGAAGGCGGCACUCUGGGUCGGCCCUGACGCUGAGACGCGAAAGCCAGGGGAGCGAACGGG
rnacentral:rRNA from 1 species